CACGUAGGCGGUCUUUUAAGUCAGAGGUGAAAGCCCGGGGCUCAACUCCGGAAUUGCCUUUGAAACUGGGAGACUUGAACACGGGAGAGGUGAGUGGAAUUCCGAGUGUAGAGGUGAAAUUCGUAGAUAUUCGGAGGAACACCAGUGGCGAAGGCGGCUCACUGGACCGUUGUUGACGCUGAGGUGCGAAAGCGUGGGGAGCAAACAGGAUUAGAUACCCCCGUA
rnacentral:rRNA from 1 species